rnacentral:SRP_RNA from 1 species
GGUCGGGCCCGAUGCACGGGUCGGCUGUGAACCUGGUCAGGUCCGGAAGGAAGCAGCCAUAAGCUUGUCCGGUCCGGUGCCGUCGGUAGCCCGACCUUG